rnacentral:rRNA from 1 species
AGUGAACGCUGGCGGUAGGCCUAACACAUGCAAGUCGAACGGCAGCACAGUAAGAGCUUGCUCUUACGGGUGGCGAGUGGCGGACGGGUGAGGAAUACAUCGGAAUCUACUUUUUCGUGGGGGAUAACGUAGGGAAACUUACGCUAAUACCGCAUACGACCUACGGGUGAAAGCAGGGGAUCUUCGGACCUUGCGCGAUUGAAUGAGCCGAUGUCGGAUUAGCUAGUUGGCGGGGUAAAGGCCCACCAAGGCGACGAUCCGUAGCUGGUGUGAGAGGAUGGUCGGCCACACUGGAACUGAGACACGGUCCAGACUCCUACGGGGGGCAGCAGUGGGGAAUAUUGGACAAUGGGCGCAAGCCUGAUCCAGCCAUACCGCGUGGGUGAAGAAGGCCUUCGGGUUGUAAAGCCCUUUUGUUGGGAAAGAAAAGCAGCAGGUUAAUACCCCGCUGUUCUGACGGUACCCAAAGAAUAAGCACCGGCUAACUUCGUG